AGAGUUUGAUUCUGGCUCAGAACGAACGCUGGCAGCGUGGAUUAGGCAUGCAAGUCGAACGAGAAGCUCUUCAAUCAAUCCUUCGGGAGAGACUGUUGAGUAGAAAGUGGCGAAAGGGUGAGUAACGCGUGGGCAAUCUACCCUAGAGUUGGGGAUAACGUUUGGAAACGAACGCUAAUACCGAAUGUGGUUCCUGGUCGCAUGGCCGGGACACUAAAGGUGGGGAUUCUUCGGAACCUGCCGCUCAUGGAGGAGCCCGCGUAUGAUUAGCUUGUUGGUGAGGUAACGGCUUACCAAGGCUUCGAUCAUUAGCUGGUCUGAGAGGAUGGUCAGCCACACUGGGACUGAGACACUGCCCAGACUCCUACGGGAGGCUGCAGUCGAGAAUCAUUCGCAAUGCGCGAAAGCGUGACGAUGCGACGCUGCGUGGAGGAUGACGGCCUUAGGGUUGUAAACUCCUGUCAUAAGGGAAAAGACAUCCCGUGAUUAACACCCACGGGACUCGAUGGUACCUUAAGAGGAAGCCACGGCUAACUCUGUGCCAGCAGCCGCGGUAAUACAGAGGUGGCGAGCGUUGUUCGGAUUUACUGGGCGUAAAGGGUGCGUAGGCGGUUUGGUAAGUCGGAUGUGAAAGCCCAAGGCUCAACUUUGGAACUGCAUCCGAUACUGCUGAACUAGAGUACAGGAGGGGAGAGCGGAAUUCUUGGUGUAGCGGUGAAAUGCGUUGAUAUCAAGAAGAACACCGGUGGCGAAGGCGGCUCUCUGGAAUGUUACUGACGCUGAGGCACGAAAGCUGGGGGAGCAAACAGGAUUAGAUACCCUGGUAGUCCCAGCCGUAAACGGUGUCGACUUGGUGUGGGGGGAAUUGACCCCCUCCGUGCCGGAGCUAACGCGUUAAGUCGACCGCCUGGGGAGUACGACCGCAAGGUUAAAACUCAAAGAAAUUGACGGGGGCCCGCACAAGCGGAGGAGCAUGUGGCUUAAUUCGAUGCAACGCGAAGAACCUUACCCAGACUUGACAUAUAUCUGCACGCCCUGUGAAAGCAGGGUUCUUUCGAAGGUGAUAUACAGGUGCUGCAUGGCUGUCGUCAGUUCGUGCCGUGAGGUGUUUGGUUAAGUCCAGCAACGAACGCAACCCUUGUGAUUAGUUGCCACCGGAGGUGAUGAGCCUUCGAGCACUCUAAUCAGACUGCCCUUGCAAGAGGGAGGAAGGUGGGGAUGACGUCAAGUCAGUAUGGCCCUUACGUCUGGGGCUGCACACGUGCUACAAUGGCCGGUACAGAAGGCUGCAAUACCGCGAGGUGGAGCUAAUCCUCAAAACCGGCCCCAGUUCGGAUUGGAGUCUGCAACUCGACUCCAUGAAGUUGGAUUCGCUAGUAACGGCGCAUCAGCUACGGCGCCGUGAAUACGUUCCCGGGCCUUGUACACACCGCCCGUCACAUCAUGAAAGCCGUCUGCACCCGAAGUCGUUGAUCUAACCCGCAAGGGAGGAAGGCGCCGAAGGUGUGGGUGGUAAUUGGGAUGAAGUCGUAACAAGGUAGCCGUA
rnacentral:rRNA from 1 species